UUACGGCCACAUCACGUUGGUUCAUCGGUUCUCAUUCGAUCACUGGAGUUAAGCAACGUCGAGACUGGUCAGUACCUAAAAUGGGUGACCGCUUGGGAAUACAAGGUGUUGUAAG